UACAGAGGUCCCAAGCGUUGUUCGGAUUCAUUGGGCGUAAAGGGUGUGUAGGUGGCGCCGUAAGUCGGGUGUGAAAUCUCGGGGCUUAACUCCGAAACUGCAUUCGAUACUGCGGUGCUUGAGGACUGGAGAGGAGACUGGAAUUCAUGGUGUAGCGGUGAAAUGCGCAGAUAUCAGGAGGAACACCGGUGGCGAAGGCGGUUCUCUGGGCAUUACCUGACGCUGAGGAGCGAAAGUGUGGGGAGCGAACAGG
rnacentral:rRNA from 1 species